GUGUGGUGAGCUUAAUGCUGUAGGUGAAACAUAACGAUCCAGCCCACUAACAAUAAUAGCUUGUUCGGUCCAAAUCAACGGCCGAAAAUACUUAAACUUGUAUUUAUUAUUAGGUGUAUAUGUGGUAUUUUUUUUAAUUUCUUGUAUAAUCCGACCCGCUAAAAAUAAUAACUUGGUGGAGCUAAACCAAUGGCCGAAAAUGUUUAACCCCAUUUAUUAUUAUUAGAAUGUGAUGCCUUAUAUAUUUCAAAUUAGUAUUUUUUUUCAUCUAUUGUAGGACUCUUGGGGUGUUAUAUAAAAACUAUAAAGCAAAUCAAGCUAAAAAUGAUUAAAAUUUGAUUAAAUGUAUAGUUAAAUUAGAAUAAAAAUUUUAAUAUGUAAUAAGUUUUUUUUUUUUGAGAGAUAGGCAGCACGCUACCCAUUUCGUCUCAUUUAGAAAUAAACUUAGCUGGAAAUGUGAAUCAACUAGGAUUCGAACUUGGAUCUCGAAUACCAAAUAGUAAGCCCUUUGCCACUUGCUCCAGGGAGGGUCGAUAAUAUGUAAUAAAUAUUGAAUAUAAUUUAGUUGUAUGGGUGCAUAGGAAGGUAUGGUAUACCUUGUG
rnacentral:lncRNA from 1 species